UACAGAGGUCUCAAGCGUUGUUCGGAUUCAUUGGGCGUAAAGGGUGCGUAGGCGGCGCGGUAAGUCGGGUGCGAAAUCUCGGGGCUUAACUCCGAAACUGCAUUCGAUACUGCCGUGCUUGAGGACUGGAGAGGAGACUGGAAUUUACGGUGUAGCGGUGAGAUGCGUAGAUAUCGUAAGGAAGACCAGUGGCGAAGGCGGGUCUCUGGACAGUUCCUGACGCUGAGGCACGAAGGUCAGGGGAGCAAACGGG
rnacentral:rRNA from 1 species